rnacentral:rRNA from 1 species
UACGUAGGGGGCAAGCGUUGUCCGGAAUCAUUGGGCGUAAAAAGCGCGUAGGCGGUCCGGUAAGUCCGCUCUGAAAGUCCGGGGCUCAACCCCGGGAGGCGGGCGGAUACUGUCGGGCUAGAGUCCGGAAGAGGCGAGUGGAAUUCCUGGUGUAGCGGUGAAAUGCGCAGAUAUCAGGAGGAACACCAAUGGCGAAGGCAGCUCGCUGGGACGGUACUGACGCUGAGGCGCGAAAGCGUGGGGAGCAAACAGG